GGCUUGCUCGAAGUUCAGUGGUAGAAUAUACGAUUCCAACCACCAAGUCUUUGUUAUCGUGCGGUCGUCCGUUCAAUCCGGGCAGGGGUCA